AGUGGGUAGUCCGCACGAGCGCACCCUGUCCUUAGUUGCCAGCACAUAAUGGUGGGGACUCUAAGGAGACUGCCUGGGAUAACCAGGAGGAAGGUGGGGAUGAUGUCAAGUCAGUAUGUCCCUUAUGUCCAGGGCUACACACGUGUUACAAUGGCCGGUACAAUGGGCUGCAAACCUGCGAGGGUAAGCCAAUCCCAAAAAACCGGCCCCAGUUCAGAUUGGAGUCUGCAACUCGACUCCAUGAAGGCGGAAUCGCUAGUAAUCGCGGAUCAGCACGCCGCGGUGAAUACGUUCCCGGGUCUUGUACACACCGCCCGUCAAGCCAUGGAAGUCGGCAGUACCCGAAGCCGGUGUCCCAACUCUUCGGAGAGGGAGCCGUCGAAGGUAAGGCUGGUAACUAGGGCUAAGUCGUAACAAGGUAGCCGUACCGGAAGGUGCGGCUGGAUCACCUCCUUUCU
rnacentral:rRNA from 1 species